UACGUAGGGGGCGAGCGUUGUCCGGAAUUACUGGGCGUAAAGGGUGCGUAGGCGGCUUUAAAAGUCAGAUGUGAAAUACCCGGGCUUAACCCGGGGGGUGCAUGUCGAACUGCCAGGCUAGAGUAUGGUAGAGGGGUGUGGAAUUUCCGGUGUAGCGGUGAAAUGCGUAGAUAUCGGAAGGAACAUCAGUGGCGAAGGCGACACCCUGGACUGUAACUGACACUGAGGCACGAAAGCGUGGGGAGCAAACAGG
rnacentral:rRNA from 1 species